UCGAGAAUUUUUCACAAUGGGGGAAACCCUGAUGGAGCGACGCCGCGUGGAGGAUGAAGGUCUUCGGAUUGUAAACUCCUGUCAUCCCAGAACAAGUCUGCCCGGCCAACACCCGGGCGUGAUCGAUGGUAUGGGGAGAGGAAGGGGCGGCUAACUCUGUGCCAGCAGCCGCGGUGAUACAGAGGCCCCGAGCGUUGUUCGGAUUCAUUGGGCGUAAAGGGUGUGUAGGAGGUUGGGCAAGUCGGAUGUGAAAUCUCGCCGCUUAACGGCGAAACGGCAUCCGAUACUGUUCGGCUAGAGGAUCGGAGGGGAGAGCGGAAUUCUCGGUGUAGCAGUGAAAUGCGUAGAUAUCGAGAGGAACGCCGGUGGCGAAAGCGGCUCUCUGGAAGAUUCCUGACUCUGAAACACGAAAGCCAGGGGAGCAAACGGGAUUAGAUACCCCGGUAGUCC
rnacentral:rRNA from 1 species